rnacentral:rRNA from 1 species
CAGCAGCCGCGGUAAUACGAAGGGUGCAAGCGUUAAUCGGAAUUACUGGGCGUAAAGCGUGCGUAGGCGGUGAGUUAAGUCUGUUGUGAAAUCCCCGGGCUCAACCUGGGAAUGGCAAUGGAUACUGGCAAGCUAGAGUGUGUCAGAGGAUGGUGGAAUUCCCGGUGUAGCGGUGAAAUGCGUAGAGAUCGGGAGGAACAUCAGUGGCGAAGGCGGCCAUCUGGGACAACACUGACGCUGAGGCACGAAAGCGUGGGGAGCAAACAGGAUUAGAGACCCCCGUAGUCCCUGUCUCUUAUAA